UCGUAGUGACUGCGGAGGAUCAUUA
rnacentral:rRNA from 2 species